GAUGAACGCUGACAGAAUGCUUAACACAUGCAAGUCAACUGUGGCGGACGGGUGAGUAACGCGUAAAGAACUUGCCUCACAGCUAGGGACAACAUUUGGAAACGAAUGCUAAUACCUGAUACUGUGAGAGAGCUUUGCGUCCCAUUAGCUAGUUGGAGAGGUAACGGCUCACCAAGGCGAUGAUGGGUAGCCGGCCUGAGAGGGUGAUCGGCUACAAGGGGACGGAGACACGGCCCUGACUCCUACGGGAGGAAGCAGGGGGGAAUAUUGGAAAAUGGACGAAAGUCUGAUCCAGCAAUUCUGUGUGAACGAUGUAGUUUUCGGAAUGUAAAGUGCUUUCAGUUGGGAAGCGGUACCAACAGAAGAAGUGACGGCUAAAUACGUGCCAGCAGCCGCGGUAAUAC
rnacentral:rRNA from 1 species